GGUGUGCCAGGGAGCUCACAGGGACACCCCCAGCCCAGCAAUUGGCCACAGGGGGACCCCAGGUGCCUCCUUCAGACCCAGGAGGCACCAGCCACUGAGUCAGGGGGGUGCAGGGGGCCCCCAGCAUGCUCCCUGGUGGACCUGGAAGUGCUUCUGGUCCACUUCUGGGUCUGCUGAUGAGCACACUGGGGAGCCCUCCAUGCAUCUCUGGGACACACUCCAUCUGCCCCAGCACCACAGUGAUCACAAGCCCCUGCUACCUAGAGGUGGAAAAAAUAUUGCAGUAAUUCCUGGAAGUGGGACAUGAGACAUAGAUAAGAGUUGGAGGCUUGAAGGAAAAAAAAAUAUUGAAAAUUUGAGUGACGUGUGACAGGUUUACCGGUAGCUGCCCUGUGCGUCUGGGCUUGGAGAAUCUUCAAUGUGAUUGGUGGAGCCCUUCCACCAAUUGGGUGAUUGCUGGGAGCAGCUUACCCUGUCCCUGCCUGGGGCAAGGCAGAAAACCCAGACCCAGUUGAAGCCUGCACCUUGCUUCAACCUGAUUGGUCCGUUUGCAAUCCGGGGGCGGAGCCCUUGGUGGGUAUAAAAGAGCAGCAUGCCUAGCACACGGGCAGCUGUGUCAAGGGACAGAUAAAAGGAUGGACACUGGUAUGAAGAAGCUGGUGUGAGCUGGCCAGCAGGGCGGAGCCGUUGCCCUGAAGAGCCCUGAAACCCCCCUUGUUGAACAGAAGCGGUGAGCGGUCACAUCCCCAGCCUCACCACAGAGGAUCGUGGCAAACAGUGCACAGCUUGGUGCACAGAGCCAGACUCUGGGAGCUGCUUGAGGCAGCUCGAGUCUGCAACCCCUGGCGCGUACCCAGGAAUGCGGUGCAGAACAUGGCUACCCCAUACCACCCCCAAAUUGCAAACAGGUCAGUCGGGUUGAAGAGUGUAGAGCAUGUAGACUCUUUGCUGGAGCUCUGCUGGGACCUCUUUCUUGAUGCUUUCCUGUACUUACCUGUUUCAAAUCAACUGCUUACCCAUGCAUUGUUCAAUGCUUCUUGAGGUGAUGUAAUCUUUCACCCUUAUUUGUGGGAUAUAACGCUAUAUGACAGUUGUAUAAUUGUGUAUAUGUGUUCCUCAAUA